AUCAUCCUUUAGAGGGUCUGUUACUUGACACUAUCGGUGGAGCUUUAGCUUUCCUUUUCUCAGGCAUGUCUCCUCGAGCUUCCAUCUUCUUUUUCUCGUUUGCUACCAUCAAAACAGUCGAUGAUCAUUGUGGACUAUGGCUACCUGGAAACCUCUUCCAUAUCGUCUUUAAAAACAACUCAGCAUACCAUGACAUUCACCACCAACUUUACGGAAGCAAGUAUAACUUUUCACAGCCUUUCUUUGUUACCUGGGAUAGGAUACUUGGUACGUAUAUGCCAUAUGCACUCGUCGAAAGACCAGAAGGGGGUUAUGA
rnacentral:misc_RNA from 1 species